rnacentral:rRNA from 1 species
CCCUUAGAUGUUCUGGGCCGCACGCGUGCUACACUGAGUACUUCAAUGGGUAAGGGAACGCUAGAGCAUUACCUAAUCUUGAAAUUUGCUCGUGAUGGGGAUCGACGGUUGCAAUUUUCCGUCGUGAACGAGGAAUACCUUGUAGGCGCAUGUCAUCAUCAUGCGCCGAAUACGUCCCUGCCCUUUGUACACACCGCCCGUCGCUCCUACCGAUUGAGUGAUCCGGUGAGGCUCUGGGACCUGGACGGAAAGAGCGUUUCGCUUGUUCUGGUUGGGAAACUUGGUCGAACCUUAUCAUUUAGAGGAAGGAGAAGUCGUAACA